ACCUGAUUACUUAAGUUGGUAGAGUGCUCCACUGGAAAUGGAGAGGUCCCUGGUUCGAUACCAGGACUAGGUG
rnacentral:tRNA from 2 species